rnacentral:rRNA from 1 species
UCCUCCCGCGGCCAAAGGGGCGACCCGGUCACGGAUGGGCAUGCGGCGCAUUAGGUAGUUGGUGGGGCAACGGCCCACCAAGCCGACGAUGCGUAGGGGUUCUGAGAGGAAGGUCCCCCACAUUGGAACUGAGACACGGUCCAAACUCCUACGGGAGGCAGCAGUGAGGAAUAUUGGUCAAUGGCCGGAAGGCUGAACCAGCCAAGUCGCGUGAGGGAAUGAGGCCCUACGGGUCGUGAACCUCUUUUGCCGGGGAGCAAGGCCGCCCACGUGUGGGCGGAAGGAGAGUACCCGGAGAAAAAGCAUCGGCUAACUCCGUGCCAGCAGCCGCGGUAAUACGGAGGAUGCGAGCGUUAUCCGGAUUUAUUGGGUUUAAAGGGUGCGUAGGCGGCGUGCCAAGUCAGCGGUAAAAUUGCGGGGCUCAACCCCGUAAAGCCGUUGAAACUGGCGCGCUCGAGUGGGCGAGAAGUAUGCGGAAUGCGUGGUGUAGCGGUGAAAUGCAUAGAUAUCACGCAGAACCCCGAUUGCGAAGGCAGCAUACCGGCGUCCCACUGACGCUGAGGCACGAAAGUGCGGGGAUCAAACAGGAUUAGAUACCCUGGUAGUCCGCACAGUAAACGAUGAAUGCUAGCUGUCCGGGGGGACUGACCCCUGGGUGGCACAGCGAAAGCGUUAAGCAUUCCACCUGGGGAGUACGCCGGCAACGGUGAAACUCAAAGGAAUUGACGG